UCUCUCUCUCUCCUCUCUCUCUCCCUCUCUCUCUCCCUCUCUCUCUCUCUCUCUCUCUCUCUCAGUAUUUCUGAUCUUUUGUUGUUUUUCAGACUCUGUCGAUGUUUUCAGAUGUGAAGGAUUUUCUCUCCUGAUCCUGGUCUCUGCUCAGUCUGUGGUCUUAUGAAGGUAAGUCUGUGUGUGUGUGUGUGUGUGUGUGUGUGUGUGUGUGUGUGUGUGUGUGUGUGUGUGUGUGUGUGUGUGUGUGUGUGUGCGCGGGCAGGGGUCUUUGAGGAGUUGAAGAUUACCUCCGCUCACUAACGUCUCGGCGUCUGUCUGACACGGUGACCGUUGGACCUCAUUAAAGUCUGGAAAACAGCGUCUGACCUGAAAACUGGAUAAUAAACUCUGAUGUGAGCGAGAGAUAAACUCACCUGAGUGUCUGAGAGAGAAAAACACACCUGUGACUUAUGUAAGGAGACCAGACAGGAGCCACAACAUCAGGAACGACCCCUGACCCCUCCUCAUCAUCAC